rnacentral:piRNA from 1 species
UGCCCUGACGCCAAUCACAAAUGUCCCC